rnacentral:rRNA from 1 species
UUGAGCGGAGAUAUAUGGAGCUUGCUUUAUAUAACUUAGCAGCGAACGGGUGAGUAACACGUAGAUAAUCUAUCCUAUACUGGGGGAUAGCCCGAUGAAAGUUGGAUUAAUACCGCAUAUAGCUAUAUAGUUGCAUGAUUAUGUAGUGAAAGAUUUAUUGGUAUAGGAGGAGUCUGCGGCACAUUAGCUAGUAGGUGAGGUAAAGGCUUACCUAGGCGACGAUGUGUAGCCGGUCUGAGAGGAUGAACGGCCACAAUGGAACUGAGACACGGUCCAUACUCCUACGGGAGGCAGCAGUGGGGAAUAUUGCACAAUGGGGGAAACCCUGAUGCAGCAACGCCGCGUGAGUGAAGAAGGUUUUCGGAUUGUAAAGCUCUGUUAGCAGGGAAGAGGAAGGACGGUACCUGCAGAGGAAGCCACGGCUAACUACGUGCCAGCAGCCGCGGUAGUACGUAGGUGGCAAGCGUUGUUCGGAAUAACUGGGCGUAAAGGAUGCGUAGGCGGUUAAACAAGUUAUAUGUUAAAUAUAUAGGCUUAACCUGUAGAAAGCAUAUAAAACUGUUUAACUAGAGUGCAGGAGAGGUAAGUGGAAUUCCUAGUGUAGCGGUGAAAUGCGUAGAGAUUAGGAAGAACACCAGUGGCGAAGGCGACUUACUGGACUGUAACUGACGCUGAGGCAUGAGAGCAUGGGGAGCAAACAGGAUUAGAUACCCUGGUAGUCCAUGCUGUAAACGAUGGGUACUAGGUGUGGGUUGUGAAUAACAAUUCGUGCCGUCGCAAACGCA